ACUGUAGUCGGCCAAAUGAAAGAGACAUAGUUGGUAAAUGAAAAGAGACAUGUUAUAUGUAUAUAUUUUAUGAUCAAUGAAAGUGAGAUUAGAGGGUAUUUAUCUGAUCUCUUGCUAAUAAGUCAUUUUCCUCUACUUUCUUACGCUUCUAUGAUAGUGUUGUUUCCUUGUGUUUGCGUGAGUGAUUGUUGUUUCGGCGAUACUCACAAGUGGGCAUUUAAUGGGUUUCAACACACGCUAAAUACUUUCUAUGAACAAGUACAACGACGUUGUGUAAUCUUGGUUUUCAUGGCGCCAAUAGUAUGCCUAUUCAGGUAUAUUUAUUAUGUAUGCACGACGAUGUUGUAUGAUGUGGUAGAGAUGAUACUUGUAAGUUCUAGUUCUGUGGACAUUCUUAUGUGAGUCUGCAAACUGUUUAUAUCAGCUUCUUGAUCUGAUUCAGUUCUAUUGACAACAAAUAAGAGUGCAGCUGAAUCCAGGAAGCAGCACCAGGAACACCGCGAUAAUUAACAAAGAGAAGGUAAUAGCCAGGAGGUGCAACCUCACCAGAAGGUGGUGCCUCAACCUGUAACUGAUAGGCAGCACGUUGUUGAGGGACAACACUAGUAACUUUCAAUACAAGAAGCCUUUGGUUCAUGGAGUAACCGUGGGUAGUAAAAGGCGGCUUGUAAAGAGUUACCAUUAUAUCUUUCUGCUGCACUGCAGGAGCAAAGAUGUUACAUGUAAUCUGAAUAGUUUGUGCAUAACCAAUGACUUUGUUUCCCAAGUGAACCUUCUUAGGCUUGAACUUGUCUAAAGCCGGAUCAAGGUAAGGAGGGCUGAAUUUCUCAACUCGAAGCUCAGUUGGGAAUUUAACACCCUGGAAUUUGUAUCCUGGGUUUGUGUUACUUCCUGCUACAAGAAUUUUACCUUCUGCUAGGACUGCAGAUGUUGAAUGGUACAUUCGCGCUAUAGUUGUUGCUUCUAAGACCUUAAAUCUGUUCCCAUUUGGCUUGUUGGGGCUGUAAAGAAAUGGGGUUAAUAUAGGAUCUUCAGCAAAUUCCCAACCAGAAGCUCCUUUUUUAGCUCCAUUUAGGAUUAGAAUUUCACCAUUUGGUAAGUUUAACAUGUCACUCAUUAUCCUAGCUGCUGGCAUUGUUUCGAUUUCCCAUUUAGCAGCAGGGUCUAGUACCUUGAUCCUUCCACAUGUGUCCAAUGCUGGAAGGAAUAUCUUCUCCUUUUCGGCCUUACCAAACGCUAAUGGCUGUCCACCACCACAAACAACUACUUCUAUGUCUAGUUUACCACCAUUUUGUAGGUUGAUUGGGAGGAUGGCGGUAGUGGCAGACCCAGGAUAGUUACGCGCUCCACCUGGUAAGUCAGGGUACUUCCUGACUAUCUUGUUAGUUCUUACAUCUAAAAGGAUUGAUCUGUAGUUGGCUAAGAUGAAGAAAUUUCCAUCUGGAGCUAGGUGAACAAAUGGGUAUAGGUUGUUUUCAUGGAGGUCUGUUGUCUCGAAAAGGAAUGGAAGAUCAAUUCUUCCGGGGCUUGCUUGGUCUAUUGGAACUACAAACUCGUAGUUGAAGGCUCGUCGUCCUCCAAGGACUAUGUAACGUCCAUCAGCUAGCUGUGCUUGAGUCCCAUACCACCUUACAUCUGAUAAAUUUACCUUCGAUUCUUUCCAAUCACAUGUAGGACAGGAGUCGUAGAAGCGAGUUUUUCGUUCACCAUCGAACCAACCACCGGUGUUUAUCAAGGUACCGUCUGGUGCUAGCCCUCCACUUGAGCACCAUGGAUCACUCUCUACCUGGAAACAAUAAGGUUCACAAUAUUUAAUUUUGUUUGUUUCAAUGUUAUGAUACAAAAUUACUCCCUCUGUCUCAAAAAGAUUGUCUUGUUUGACUUUUACAGUGUUUCACCAGACACAGAUUUAACCAAUACUUUGACCAUUCUAGUCCGAAAAACAUAAUAUAAACAUACUUUUAUGUAACUACUUCUUUACCAACAAAUAUAACAUUGUCUAUAGCAAAAAAAUUGCACAUCUUUAAACAAUACAAAUCAAAGGACAAAAGAUGCACAAGUUUUUGAAUGAACUCAUGUCUAUGAUCAACCAUGUCCAUAGAAAUCUUUACCUAUCGAUAAAUGUGAAAAGUCAAAAGGAGUAAACUAAUAAAAGACGGAGGGAGUAUAUACUAGUUCAUGUUGCAUGCAAUAUUCCAAGACAUAGAUAAAUGGCAUAUAAGAUUAUAAGGUACUAUGAUAAAGUACUACUAUAUAUAUAUAUAUACCUUGAGUGUUCUAACAUUGUUGGUUUGAAGAUCAUAUUCAACAGCGUGUGCGUAACAAUCAAAUACAUCUGUUGUGUUGUAAACAAGGCGACAACGACCUUUAGGUAAUUCAAUGCUUGAUUUUCCCAAAGAAGUUGCAUCAAACAUAACAAGUUUAUUAGUAGGCAUAAGUUGCAAAUGCAUUGCAGAAACACCAGAGUUUGGAGAAACUAUUUCCCAUUUUCCUGCAUAAUUUGUCUGUUCCAUUUCUGCUGGUUGUCCAACUUGUUGUUGUAAUGGCUUAUUUUGUUCUUUAGGUAACUCUGCUUGAUUACCUUUUUUUGUGGGCAUGUCUUUUCCUUGAUCAUCACCUUGUUUUCCUGGCAAAGUUUGUUCAUCUUUUCCUUGAUUAUUGUCUUUUUUAUCACCUUUAGGUAAAUCAUAACUUUGUUGCUCAUCUUGUUCUUCUUCUUGUCGUUGUCGUUCAACGAUUUCUUCUUCCUUAUCUUUAUCUUUAUCUUUAUCUUUAUCUCUUCGCGGCCUUCCAAGACCGCGAAGAAGGCCACCUAAUCCUCCUCCAAGCCCAGGGAGAUGGCGAACCCCUGUUUGUUGUUGAUCAUUGUCAUUUUGGUUAUCACCCAAGAAAAAUUGGGCUGAGGAGCAUACAAAGAGAAGAGAAAGAAUGAGUAUGAAAUUAAUGAUCAAUGGAGAUGAAGUAGACAUUAUUAUUAUUAUUAUUAUUAUUGUUACAAUGUUAUUUACAAGGAACAAAAUAUAAGCUAAGCUAAGUAUAUAUACUUAUGAAGGGAAAAAACAAAAGAAAAACUCUAUGUUUCUCUUGUUUGCUUUCCCCCUUGUUGAUGCAUUAAUUAUUCUA